UGGGGAAUAUUGCACAAUGGGCGCAAGCCUGAUGCAGCCAUGCCGCGUGUGUGAAGAAGGCCUUCGGGUUGUAAAGCACUUUCAGCGAGGAGGAAGGUGGUGAGCUUAAUACGCUCAUCAAUUGACGUUACUCGCAGAAGAAGCACCGGCUAACUCCGUGCCAGCAGCCGCGGUAAUACGGAGGGUGCAAGCGUUAAUCGGAAUUACUGGGCGUAAAGCGCACGCAGGCGGUUUGUUAAGUCAGAUGUGAAAUCCCCGGGCUCAACCUGGGAACUGCAUUUGAAACUGGCAAGCUAGAGUCUCGUAGAGGGGGGUAGAAUUCCAGGUGUAGCGGUGAAAUGCGUAGAGAUCUGGAGGAAUACCGGUGGCGAAGGCGGCCCCCCUGGACGAAGACUGACGCUCAGGUGCGAAAGCGUGGGGCAGCAAACAGGAUUAGAUACCCUGGUAGUCCAGCGCUGUAAACGAUGUCGAUUUGGAGGUUGUGCCCCUUGAGGCGUGGCUUCCGGAGCUAACGCGUUAAAUCGACCGCCUGGGGGAGUACGGCCGCAAGGCUAAAACUUAAAUGAAUUGACGGGGUCAUAGCUGUUUCCU
rnacentral:rRNA from 1 species